rnacentral:rRNA from 1 species
UGGCGGACGGGUGAGUAAUGUCUGGGAAACUGCCCGAUGGAGGGGGAUAACUACUGGAAACGGUAGCUAAUACCGCAUAACGUCGCAAGACCAAAGAGGGGGACCUUCGGGCCUCUUGCCAUCGGAUGUGCCCAGAUGGGAUUAGCUAGUAGGUGGGGUAACGGCUCACCCAGGCGACGAUCCCUAGCUGGUCUGAGAGGAUGACCAGCCACACUGGAACUGAGACACGGUCCAG